rnacentral:rRNA from 1 species
AUUGAACGCUGGCGGGAGGCUUAACACAUGCAAGUCGAGCGGAGUGAUGGUGCUUGCACCAUCACUUAGCGGCGAACGGGUGAGUAAUGCCUAGGAAUCUGCCCAUUAGCGGGGGACAACGUGUGGAAACGCACGCUAAUACCGCAUAUGCCCUACGGGGGAAAGCAGGGGACUCUUUGAGCCUUGCACUAAUGGAUGAGCCUAGGUCAGAUUAGCUAGUUGGUGGGGUAAAGGCCUACCAAGGCGACGAUCUGUAGCGGGUCUGAGAGGAUGAUCCGCCACACUGGAACUGAGACCCGGUCCAGACUCCUACGGGGGGCAGCAGUGGGGAAUAUUGGAAAAUGGGCGCAAGCCUGAUCCAGCCAUGCCGCGUGUGUGAAGAAGGCCUUUUGGUUGUAAAGCACUUUAAGCGAGGAGGAGGCUUACCUGGUUAAUACCUGGGAUAAGUGGACGUUACUCGCAGAAUAAGCACCGGCUAACUCUGUG